GGGGGGGAACCUUAUUCCAAAAAAAAAAAAAACCCCACACAGGACAGAGGGAGAGGAGUGCUUUUAUUUCUUUCUACAGAAAUCAAAAAGAAGAAAAAAUCACCCCUGGAAUAAUUUAUUGUGACACAUAACAACAUCUUUACCCCAUCACCUAUAAAUACACAUCUGUCCAUCAUGUCCAGCUUCCUAGAUUUAAGACUGGCAGACUAAGAAGACAGCGAGAUGAGGAACAUCUGUGGAACAAAUCUCCCUGUCAGAGUAAAGUAGUCAGACUAGAUCCCCAAGGUACAAAAACAAAGACAAGAGUCUAGAUGAGGUAUCAUGGCAAUAAAGUCUCACUGAACAGAACACAGUAAAAGUUAAUGAAGGAAAAACACAUAAUCCUGUGAGAACAAAAAGUAAAGCAAGUCCAAGGCCACAGUGUCCUAAUAAGGACUCCUAGGAAAACGCAGUUCAAGCAUGAGCAUACAGAGACGGGAAAACAAACGUUUCAGUGAAAAUGGCUAUUGUGAGAAUGAGAAAAAACGAACAGGACAGUGACAAGAUGAUGAAGCGUUACCAGGAAAAAAAGAGGAAAAAACAGACAGUUAUUAGAAGUCAGUUUCUGCAAGCCGGAAGAGAUUUUAAAAAGACAUGAAGUCACAGAGGGCAGGAGCGCUCACAGGAGAAAGAGCUUCACCUAGAAGAAGCACUAGCGGAAGAAUUCCCAGGCAGUGAGAUACAUGUGGAAACAGGAAAUAAUCUCAAAGCACCAAGUAGAAAGUGUAGAACAGGAACGGUAUAUAGGGCUGUUAGGGGGAUAACUAAGAAAAGGAUUGUCUAUAGACAGGACGAUACCAGUAAAGCAAGAGAGAAAUCACAGAACAAAAAGCACCACGAGAGAAGGAAGACCGCUAGGGAGAGAGAAGUCCAGGGGCAGUUUGAAAGGGACACGAGAGGUGAUGGCGACGAAGACCAAGCCUGUGCACAUCCCCGAACAAACGCAGGUUUCUCAGAAGCCCUAGGAGAAAAGUAUCGCAGCGCUCUUGGGAAGAGGACACAGGAGUGCCUCAGAGCAGGUUUCCCUCGGGGCAGGAAGGCAGAUCGUAACAGAAAUACAGUGUCUUGCUGCUCAUGAUACCAGGUUCUAUUCAGAUUUGGCCUAGUCAUGACCUGUUGAAAAUUGCCACUUCUUAUUUGUGCUUUGCAUUGCAUAGCUACAUUUGAAUAGUGUUAGGAUUUGGAGAUUUUGUGUAGUCUAUAAAUUCUGCUUGAUGCAGAAGAUGAUCUGGGCCAUACUGAAAACUCCAGUCGUCUAGCUUCUCCUUUAUCUCCGUGUAAGACUGGAAUUCAAAGGCAUAAUGACAGAAAGGUAACAGUGGGCAGUUAUUACAUUUUGAUGGCACACCUUCCUCCCUAAAUGCCAAGAGAAAGAAUCCACAAGGAUGAAGAUCUCAGAGGAGAUGUGGUCAAGGUAUGAUGAGUGAAGGUAACGGGCAGCGAUCACUAGUCUUAUGUAAUUGGAUCAUAAAGGUUUCAGCUAGACAGAAUAAUUGAAUCCCUGGCUGCAGUCAGUUCAGCUUAGUAACAGGACAGGAACAGAAAGAUAGCAUCCAUUCCUUCCUAGCAGGUUCCAUAUAAAGCCAGACAACUCAGACAUACCACAAUAUAUAAUACUUUCUGUCCGACUGGAGAGCCUAACAGACAGAAAACAAUAGGACCACAAAGCUCCUAAGCUACAACUGUCAUGAUGCAC
rnacentral:lncRNA from 1 species